AUCGCUUCUCGGCCUUUUGGCUAAGAUCAAGUGUAGUAUAAGAAGCGACUCAGACAAUGUUGUCACAGUAGCAGCCUUU
rnacentral:snRNA from 1 species